GCCCGGGCGCCCAGGGUGAUGCUACUGCCUUCCGCGCUUCGGGCUCGCCUGGCUGGGGCGCCUGGGGCAGCCGAGCCGCUGCCAGUGGAGCGGAGCCCCGCGGCCCGAGCGGCGCCCUUCGGCUUCGUGCCGCGCCCAGUGCGUUUCCCGAGGGAACACGAGUUCUUCGAGGACGGGGACGUGCAGCGGCACCUGUACCUGCAGGAUGUGAUCACACAGGUGGCCGAGGCCCCAGAGAAGUCCAGGGUACCCGAGUUCACCUGUCAGGUGGCCGGCUGCUGCCAGGUGUUUGCUGCGCUGGAGGACUACCAGCACCACUACCAUAUGAUGCAUGGGAACGCCUGCUCCCUGUGUAGCCGGGCCUUCCCUUCUGAGCACUUGCUGGACGCCCACAUUUUGGAAUGGCAUGAUUCACUCUUCCAGGUCCUGGCAGAAAGACAAGACAUGUACCAGUGCCUGGUUGAAGGCUGCCGUGAGAAAUUCAAGAAUACCCAGGACCGGAAGGAUCACAUGGUGAGGCUCCAUCUCUACCCUGCAGAUUUCCGGUUUGAUAAGCCCAAGACCAGCAGAGGCCCAUCCAUGCCAGGGGCCAUUGCAGACCUGUCCACCAGAACCCUAGCUGAUGAUGGGGAUGCUAUGGAAGUGUGCCCCUCACCCAUGACUCUGUCCUCAGCACCCGUGAGUGAGAAGCGGACCUAUAGUCACAGAGUACCUUCUACCAUCUGUUUUGGACAGGGUGCAUUGAGAGGGUUUAAAAGCACCAAGAAAAAAAAUAAACAUCACUGAUGGGGAGAAAGAACCAAGCAUCUGAGCAGACCGGGGCAGAAGACCAUGGUUGCCUGCAGGAGAUGGAACAGAGUGACCCCUCCUAAAAGUGAUCUAUGGAGACCAAAGGUCAUGAGACCUCUCUACAGCAUUAGGGAACAGACCAGCGCUCACUGCAAACUGAGGCCUUCACAGCCUGAAGAGUAAGUGUGUCACUGGCCAUACUUAUGAUGAGCCCAAGAGUGUCCUUUCAGCUGGGUUGGCUCUUUGCAUGCAGGGCUGCUCCAGGACACCAUCUGGGUGGACACUGUUUCCUCAGUACAACUCCUGGCUGCUGCAGGCCUCCCUCUUUCACCAAAGAGGAAGAUGUUACUGG